rnacentral:rRNA from 1 species
CUCUAAAGGGACUGCCGGUGAAAAACCGGAGGAAGGUGGGGAUGACGUCAAGUCCUCAUGGCCUUUAUGUCCAGGGCUACACACGUACUACAAUGGACGGCACAAUGAGUCGCAAACCCGCGAGGGGGAGCCAAUCUCAAAAAACCGUUCUCAGUUCGGAUUGCAGUCUGCAACU